AAAUACUAAAAUUAAUCAAAACAAAAAAAUACUAAAAUUCAAAAUAAAAAAAAAACAUAACAUAUUUGCAUCAUUUAAUCAAAAUAUUAAAAUCCAAAUUAUUUUAUUAAUUAAUCUAUAUUUACACUCGCCGCCUCAAAGAGGAGAAAGAGAUCUAACUUUUCGAUGGAGAGAUCGAUUGCGCAAUCUCAGACCCCUCCCUCUCGUCACAUUAACUUCGUAAUUCUCGUUACAUUCAUCGUCUUUAUAUUCGAUCUCCAGAUCCAGUAAUGGAACUAAAAACUGAGGCCUCUGCAAGUGAGAGGAAAUAUACUGCUUUUCUUCUACCUGGCCUAACAAAUUGAAAUAUGCUGCUUUUCUUCUACCUGACCAAGAUCUAAGCUUCUUCAAUGGUGUUGCCAGUCCACUCACUUUAUUCCUUGUUUGUUUUUGUUAAAAAUUAUUAUUUGUUCUUUUUAUGUUUUUUUGCCUCCAGUCUGAAUUUUUAUGAAUCCGAUAUAUUGGGUCCUGGAGGUACUAAAAUUAUAUUCCCUUUCUAUUUGAUCAAAUUUAUCGAUUUUUGUUUUCAAUUUAAUAUAUAUGAUAUAAUGAUACUUUUGUCAAGUUUCUGUAUUUGGGUUUAGAGAAUUAAUAUUUUUGUUGCCCUGGAAUAAUUGGGGUUGUGCAUUUUCCUUUUAUUUAGUAGCUCAGUCGAAUUACUCUAAAUUUAUGGAUUUGGAGACGCAAGGAACUUCAAUGUAUAAAAACAAUACGACUCUUUCGGAUUAAUUUUCAUGGUUAGUUAAUAGUAACUAUUGAACUCUAAUUGUGAUUGUGAUGAAGAGAUGAAUGAUAGAUUGGAAGAAAAGAUUGAUUCAAGUAGG
rnacentral:lncRNA from 1 species